CCGGGUAGUCCUGGCUGUAGAGUAUGCGUGCUAGGUGUUGGUAUGGCUAUGAGCCGUAUCAGUGCCGUAGAGAAAUCGUUAAGCGCGCCGCGUGGGAAGUACGGUCGCAAGACUGAAACGUAAAGGAAUUGGCGGGGGAGCACCACAAGGGGUGAAGCCUGCGGUUCAAUUGGACUCAGCGCCGGGAACCUUACCGGGAGCGCCAGCAGUAUGAAGGUCAGGCUGACGACCUUACCAGACAGGCUAAGAGGUGGUGCAUGGCCGUCGCCAGUUCGUGCCGUGAGGUAUCCUGUUAAGUCAGGCAACGAACGAGACCCGCGCCUUUAGUUGCCAUCAAGAGACUUCGGUCUCGUUGGGAACGCUAAAGGGACUGCCAUCGUAUAGAUGGAUGAAGGAGCGGGCCACGGCAGGUCAGUAUGCCCCGAAUCUCCCGGGCCACACGCGGGCUGCAAUGGUAUGGACAAUGGGAUGCGACUCCGAAAGGAGAAGCUAAUCUCGAAACCAUAUCUCAGUUGGGAUUGUCGGCUGCAACUCGCCGACAUGAACGUGGAAUCCCUAGUAAUCGUGUGUCAUCAUCGCACGGUGAAUACGUCUCUGCUCCUUGCACACACCGCCCG
rnacentral:rRNA from 1 species